UACCCGGCCGUCGGGGCAAG
rnacentral:snRNA from 1 species